UGCAGCUUUUGUACAGCCUUCCUGUCUUGCUUAUCAAUGGCAUGUAUCUUAUACUCGUUAUACAUUAACACUAAAAAUAUACUUUGUCUCUCCUAAGUUGUUCUUAAAUGCUGUAAUCAUUCAUUAGAGCUCACAGGCGGGAGCUAUUUCUUAAGAAGCAGAUCUUGCAUUCUGAGUAGUUCAAAUCCUCUGGACUUUCCUGCUAGUUUCCUGCUACCUUCCUUUAAGGUAGACUCUGUUGUCAUUGAAGUCAGGGUUAGAUGGAGCUUGCAGGAUGGGAAUGAAAGAGAGGAAAGAUGUUUUACUACACUGCCUCCUAUUAUGGACCUCAGUUGAAGCAUGAGAAUCAAGUGGCUUACCCUAAAGAACAGAAACACAGAAUUUAAUGCAGGAAUCCUGAUUUGUUGCAGGAACAGAAGGUCUUCAGUACCUUUAUCUGAUGGGAGAUUCCAUUACAGUACAAAACAGGAGUUCAGGAUGUGUUCACCACAGAGAUAAAAGCUGACAUUGACUCUUCCACAAGGUUUCAAUAGGAAAGCAGACCAGGAGCCAGUGAACCAGAAUGAGGAGGAAAUCAGAAAACAUGCCAUUCCGUUCAUCCUGUAGCACAAAGGCAGGAUUACUGUGGCUGGGAAGGUCGGUGAGGAUUUCGUCUGCCACCAGAGAGCACUGUAACUAUACGCUCCAGCCAGCCGGCCCAAUUUCCAGACCUGAAGGACUUGAGUGUUUCUUCUACUUUUAUUCCAACACAAAUAUAGCUUCACUUACAUCCUUCAAGCAGCAUGGCUGCAGCAAAGCUUCCAUUGCUUUGAGUCCUGGCAUAUAUAAGGAGCACAGCACUGCUGGCCUUCUGUGGGAUGGCAGAGACCUUUGCUGAUGGUACAUGUACCUGGCCGAGAAAUGACAUAUCCGCAGAUGUGGAGACAGCCUUGAGGUAUUUCCUUCUUGAAAGGCUACAACACCAACAGAAAUUAAUGCUUGGUUUUAUGCAUAAUAAUUGUGGGCUAUUCAUCACGACAUGAAAGGAGAUCCCAGAAACACUGCACCAGAAUGUUGUUGUUCUCUCUGCAAGUUUUUGACUAUUUCUUACUGUUACAGGCAGUGUCAGAGGGCUUCUUCCAUCUCCUCAGUGGCAGGGUAGCAAGGGAUUGGAGUAAAAGGAUUCCUUGGUUCUCAUCCCUGGGUUUAAAGUGUACAUGGAAAUAAAGCAGAGGGGUGAGCUGGCUCA
rnacentral:lncRNA from 1 species